AGGAUGAACGCUGGCGGCGUGCCUAACACAUGCAAGUCGAACGUCCUGUCUCGCAAGAGGCAGGGAGUGGCGGACGGGUGAGUACCACGUGGGUCAUCUACCGUGAGGUGAGGAAUACCGGCGAGAAAUCGCCGACAAGACCGCAUAGGCUCGAUGCAAGUCGAGCAAAGCUCUUUCGAGAGAGGGAGCGCCACACGAGGAGCCUGCGCCCGAUUAGCUAGCUGGUGGAGUAACGGUUCACCAGGGCGACGAUCGGUAGCUGGUCUGAGAGGACGAUCAGCCACACUGGGAUUGAGAACGGCCCAGACUCCUACGGGGGGCAGCAGUGAGGAAUUUUCGUCAAUGGGGGCAACCCUGAACGAGCAACGCCGCGUGCAGGAGAAGGUUUUCGGAUCGUAAACUGCUUUUCUCGGGGAAGAGAACGGACGGUACCCGAGGAAUCAGCCCCGGCUAACUACGUGCCAGCAGCCGCGU
rnacentral:rRNA from 1 species